GGAGAUGAUGACAUAUAAUUUGACACCCAGGCAUACUUGUAUCCUUUGAUGCAAGAUGGUGAUGUCAAUCGACCUUUUAUCUGAUCC
rnacentral:snoRNA from 1 species